rnacentral:rRNA from 1 species
GAUGAACGCUGGCGGCGUGCCUAAUACAUGCAAGUCGAGCGAACGGACGAGAAGCUUGCUUCUCUGAUGUUAGCGGCGGACGGGUGAGUAACACGUGGAUAACCUACCUAUAAGACUGGGAUAACUUCGGGAAACCGGAGCUAAUACCGGAUAAUAUUUUGAACCGCAUGGUUCAAAAGUGAAAGACGGUCUUGCUGUCACUUAUAGAUGGAUCCGCGCUGCAUUAGCUAGUUGGUAAGGUAACGGCUUACCAAGGCAACGAUGCAUAGCCGACCUGAGAGCGUGGACGGACACCCUGGAACUGAGACACGGUACAGACUCCUACGGGAGGAAGCAGUAGGGAAUCUUCCGCGAUGGGCGAGAGCCUGACGGAGCAACGCCGCGUGAGUGAUGAAGGUCUUCGGAUCGUAAAACUCUGUUAUUAGGGAAGAACAUAUGUGUAAGUAACUGUGCACAUCUUGACGGUACCUAAUCAGAAAGCCACGGCUAACUACGUG